UCCGCCAUGGUGUAGUGGCUAGCAUCGGCCGCUCUCAACAGAGCUUCACUGUUCCUCAGUGGUCCGGCCAGACCCGGGUUCAAUUCCCGGUGGCGGAA